rnacentral:misc_RNA from 1 species
UGGUUCUGGCAUCGAUGAAGAACGCAGCGAAAUGCGAUAAGUAAUGUGAAUUGCAGAAUUCAGUGAAUCAUCGAAUCUUUGAACGCACAUUGCGCCCGCCAGUAUUCUGGCGGGCAUGCCUGUCCGAGCGUCAUUUCAACCCUCAAGCCCCCGUUGCUUGGCGUUGGGAGCCCCUUGCGGUCACCCGCAACUCCCCAAAGUUAGCUGGCAGGGCCGGGUCCGCGACCCCGAGCGUAGUAGCACCUAUCUCGCUCCGGCGGUCGCCCCGGCUUCCUCAACCUCGCCACUAAACCCCCCAAAAUUCUUCUAUGGUUGACCUCGGAUCAGGUAGGAAUACCCGCUGA